AUUCAGUAAUUUCAACCUUAGGUUCCUUAUGUUGCUUAAUCUUGGGCCUUGCAACCGCAACGUCCUUACCUUUCCUCUUCUUAGUUUCCUUAUAAGAGGAUGCCAAAUGAGCACUUUCAGUCUUAUCUUGCUUUAUCCUUUCCUCAUAUUGCACACAAUGUGAAAUGAGCUCAUUUAGAGUCCAUUUCUCCUUCAGGCAGUUAUAACUGACCUUAAACUGAUUAAAAUAUGCAGGAAGAGAUAUCAAAACAAAGUACACAAGCAGUUCCUCAGGUAUACUAGCUUGAGUGACUUAAGUUUCGAAGCAAGACGAGACAUUUCCAAAAUGUACUCCCUAACGUUUCCCUUGCCCUUAUACCUCAUGGAAACAAGUUUACUCAAUAGUGUACUUGUUUCCGCCUUUUCGUUUUGCAUAAAACACUGUUCAAGGUUUUCAAGGGAAACUUUGGCAAGCAAAUACUUGAACUUUAACUUUACUUUAUAGAUUCAAAAUAGGCAUUUCCCAUUUCAAGAUACCUAGCACAACAUUGAUUUUAGUCUUUGGACAGAAAAAUAACUUGUAAGUGGUACUCUUGGUGUAGUGAUCAAACAUAGACAAUAAACUCCCGUCAAAUAUUAAACCUUCCUUUGGGCCGAUUUAAUAUUCACAUGGAAAACCACAUAAUUGUCUCAUAUUUACCACCACAAGCAUGUUCGAAUUCCUGCCAAAUAACAACCUUCCUUUGGGCCGGUGUUAAACGCAUGGAAACUAACAUCCAC
rnacentral:lncRNA from 1 species